GCGGCCGUCGUCUAGCCUGGCCUAGGACACCGGCCUGCCACGCCGGCGACCCGGGUUCAAAUCCCGGCGGCCGCACCA
rnacentral:tRNA from 1 species